UACAGAGGCCUCAAGCGUUGUUCGGAUUCAUUGGGCGUAAAGGGUGCGUAGGUGGCGCCGUAAGUCGGGUGUGAAAUUUCGAGGCUUAACCUCGAAACUGCAUUCGAUACUGCGGUGCUUGAGGACUGGAGAGGAGACUGGAAUUCAUGGUGUAGCAGUGAAAUGCGUAGAGAUCAUGAGGAAGACCAGUGGCGAAGGCGGGUCUCUGGACAGUUCCUGACACUGAGGCACGAAGGCCAGGGAGCAAACGGG
rnacentral:rRNA from 1 species